rnacentral:misc_RNA from 1 species
GUUUCUUUAGGGACUCCUUCCUCCAUAUCACUCCUCCAGAUUUGAAUUCCUUCACUUUGAAUGUCACAUUUCUCUUUCGCAUUAGAACCAAACUGUUCUCCCUGAGUAUUCUUUUUCCGAUUCAUCGAUAUUUGGAUGGGAACACUGACUGGAAUUUUUCCUUUAUUGAGGGAUAUUCGAUGGAUUUCAAGGUGAACAGAGACUGAGCUUCCUUCUACCAAAGGUUUCUGUCAUCUCCGCAUUUAAUUGAUCAGAUGGCCUUAGGAGUAGAGUUAACGCAAGCGAUAAAGGAGUGUGAGCAUGACACGCGGAACCAGUCUCAACGGUUUGGUCCAUCGAUCUCCAGGAACUUUCCUUCUGCAAAACAUGAAUUCCUACCUGAUCAGUUAGGGAAGCAGUGAUCCUUAAAUUCUCUCUUGGAUUCUGAUUCUGUGGAGCUUUGGCUACCAUCCACGCUUUAAAUUUUAAGUUGGUUCCACCAUCUACCCCUUGAUUCACCAUUUCAGCUUUCUCCGUACAGUUCCUGCUAAUAUGCCCAAUCUGUCCACAGAAGUAGCAAAACACAGGCAGUCUUUCAUACUUAACCUUAAUCCAGUCUUUUUGGCCACCUUCUCUCGGUAGAUGAAACCCAGCUAUCAAUGGUUUAUCGGUGUUGAGCCAUACUUUGAUUCAGAAGAACAUUGCCCGUAUAUUUGAGUUAGUCAAAACAUCAUCCACCUUGAGAAGCCCUUCAAAUAAACCCCUAAUUCGUCUGGCAUUCUCUUCAAUCCACAUAGAUGGUGGAAGUCCAAAGAUCUGGACCCAAGCAAUGAUUGGAAAAUCAACAGCACGGAUCGCCUUGUAUGGUGGCCAUUUUUGAAGGGAAAAAAAAGGCUAUUGUCAAUAGACCAUGGCCCAUCUUCAACAAUUUUAUCAACCUCCUGCUCAGAUGCAAACGCUAAAAUAAAAAUUCCAUCUGGUCGUCUUCUCACUUGAAACUCAGUUUUUACCUUCCAUAUCUUGGACAUAGUGGAUUUGAUAACCCAAGGCGUAUAUUUCUUUGUAGAAAUGAUCUUUGCCAAUAGCUUGUUGUUUGUAAUAUGGCAUUUCUGAAUCUGUAGACGGAUGUAAAUCCAGAAUUGGUUCACUGCAGCUGAGAUUCUCUGUCAUUCUGAUAAGUCGCAGAACUUGAGUGAGGAGAAGUAGGUGGAUGAAGUAAGGGCUAUGUUGAUUAUCUUUAGGUAAGUGAAAAACCAUAAGAGGGAUCUUG